GCAAUUUUGGUAGAGUGGUUAAGAUGUUGGACUACUGAUUGGAAGGUCAUGAGUUCAAAUCCCAGCCCUGUCA